rnacentral:misc_RNA from 1 species
AAGACUAUAGACCUGCGGAGUACCUGCGGAGGGAUCAUUACAGAGUUCAUGCCCUCACGGGUAGAUCUCCCACCCUUGAAUACUAUACCUUUGUUGCUUUGGCGGGCCGCUUUGGCUACUGGCUCUGGCUAGUAAGUGCCCGCCAAAGAACCCCAAAACUCUGAAUAUUAGUGUCGUCUGAGUACUAUAUAAUAGUUAAAACUUUUAACAAUGGAUCUCU